rnacentral:lncRNA from 14 species
AUGUUCCUCUGCACUGAGGCGUUACUAAUACUGAGUACAGCAAAAGGACGAGCAAGAUGUCUUACAGUGAACCAUUGGAAACUACUCUCAGAGUGUGGAUUCCAGCCGGAUUUGUGUCAUGACUUCAGCCAGGGCGUUAUUGCACUCAUCAAUGUUGUGUGGGCCUCAGUGACAUUGAGGAUGGAGCCAGCAGGGCUGUGGUUGAGGGGAAGCAAAGGACACAGCUGA